rnacentral:rRNA from 1 species
UGCCAGCCGCCGCGGUAAUACUGAAGGUGCGAGCGUUGUCCGGAAUUACUGGGCGUAAAGGGCUCGUAGGUGGUUUGUCGCGUCGUCUGUGAAAUUCCGGGGCUUAACUCCGGGCGUGCAGGCGAUACGGGCAUAACUUGAGUACCGUAGGGGUAACUGGAAUUCCUGGUGUAGCGGUGAAAUGCGCAGAUAUCAGGAGGAACACCGAUGGCGAAGGCAGGUUACUGGGGAGUUACUGACGCUGAGGAGCGAAAGCGUGGGGAGCAAACAGGAUUAGAUA